AGAUUAAGUUAUUAAGGGCGCACGGUGGAUGCCUUGGCACUAGAAGCCGAUGAAGGACGUUACUAACGACGAUAUGCUUUGGGGAGCUGUAAGUAAGCUUUGAUCCAGAGAUUUCCGAAUGGGGAAACCCAGCAUGAGUUAUGUCAUGUUAUCGAUAUGUGAAUACAUAGCAUAUCAGAAGGCACACCCGGAGAACUGAAACAUCUUAGUACCCGGAGGAAGAGAAAGAAAAUUCGAUUCCCUUAGUAGCGGCGAGCGAAAUGGGAAGAGCCCAAACCAACAAGCUUGCUUGUUGGGGUUGUAGGACACUCUAUACGGAGUUACAAAGGACGACAUUAGACGAAUCAUCUGGAAAGAUGAAUCAAAGAAGGUAAUAAUCCUGUAGUCGAAAAUGUUGUCUCUCUUGAGUGGAUCCUGAGUACGACGGAGCACGUGAAAUUCCGUCGGAAUCUGGGAGGACCAUCUCCUAAGGCUAAAUACUCUCUAGUGACCGAUAGUGAACCAGUACCGUGAGGGAAAGGUGAAAAGCACCCUGGAAGGGGAGUGAAAUAGAACCUGAAACCGUGUGCUUACAAGUAGUCAGAGCCCGUUAAUGGGUGAUGGCGUGCCUUUUGUAGAAUGAACCGGCGAGUUACGAUUUGAUGCAAGGUUAAGCAGUAAAUGUGGAGCCGUAGCGAAAGCGAGUCUGAAUAGGGCGUUUAGUAUUUGGUCGUAGACCCGAAACCAGGUGAUCUACCCUUGGUCAGGUUGAAGUUCAGGUAACACUGAAUGGAGGACCGAACCGACUUACGUUGAAAAGUGAGCGGAUGAACUGAGGGUAGCGGAGAAAUUCCAAUCGAACCUGGAGAUAGCUGGUUCUCUCCGAAAUAGCUUUAGGGCUAGCCUCAAGUGAUGAUUAUUGGAGGUAGAGCACUGUUUGGACGAGGGGCCCCUCUCGGGUUACCGAAUUCAGACAAACUCCGAAUGCCAAUUAAUUUAACUUGGGAGUCAGAACAUGGGUGAUAAGGUCCGUGUUCGAAAGGGAAACAGCCCAGACCACCAGCUAAGGUCCCAAAAUAUAUGUUAAGUGGAAAAGGAUGUGGCGUUGCCCAGACAACUAGGAUGUUGGCUUAGAAGCAGCCAUCAUUUAAAGAGUGCGUAAUAGCUCACUAGUCGAGUGACACUGCGCCGAAAAUGUACCGGGGCUAAACAUAUUACCGAAGCUGUGGAUUGUCCUUUGGACAAUGGUAGGAGAGCGUUCUAAGGGCGUUGAAGCAUGAUCGUAAGGACAUGUGGAGCGCUUAGAAGUGAGAAUGCCGGUGUGAGUAGCGAAAGACGGGUGAGAAUCCCGUCCACCGAUUGACUAAGGUUUCCAGAGGAAGGCUCGUCCGCUCUGGGUUAGUCGGUCCUAAGCUGAGGCCGACAGGCGUAGGCGAUGGAUAACAGGUUGAUAUUCCUGUACCACCUAUAAUCGUUUUAAUCGAUGGGGGACGCAGUAGGAUAGGCGAAGCGUGCGAUUGGAUUGCACGUCUAAGCAGUAAGGCUGAGUAUUAGGCAAAUCCGGUACUCGUUAAGGCUGAGCUGUGAUGGGAGAAGACAUUGUGUCUUCGAGUCGUUGAUUUCACACUGCCGAGAAAAGCCUCUAGAUAGAAAAUAGGUGCCCGUACCGCAAACCGACACAGGUAGUCAAGAUGAGAAUUCUAAGGUGAGCGAGCGAACUCUCGUUAAGGAACUCGGCAAAAUGACCCCGUAACUUCGGGAGAAGGGGUGCUCUUUAGGGUUAACGCCCAGAAGAGCCGCAGUGAAUAGGCCCAAGCGACUGUUUAUCAAAAACACAGGUCUCUGCUAAACCGUAAGGUGAUGUAUAGGGCUGACGCCUGCCCGGUGCUGGAAGGUUAAGAGGAGUGUUAGCUUCUGCGAA
rnacentral:rRNA from 1 species